UGAGUACGAGCUGCUACGGCAGCGAAGUGGGUGAUGUCAUGCCUCCAAGAAAAGCCCUAUACCCGUUAAGGCAUGAUGGCCUGUACCCGAAACCGACACAGGUGGGGUGGUAGAGAAUACCGAGGGGCGCGAGGUAACUCUCUCUAAGGAACUCGGCAAAAUGGCCCCGUAACUUCGGGAGAAGGGGUGCCACCGCAAGGUGGUCGCAGUGAAGAGGCCCAGGCGACUGUUUACCAAAAACACAGGUCUCCGCUAAGUCGCAAGACGAUGUAUGGGGGCUGACGCCUGCCCAGUGCCGGAAGGUUAAGGAAGCUGGUCAGCGUAAGCGAAGCUAGCGACUGAAGCCCCGGUGAACGGCGGCCGUAACUAUAACGGUCCUAAGGUAGCGAAAUUCCUUGUCGUGUAAGUUCCGACCCGCACGAAAGGCGUAACGAUCUGGGCGCUGUCUCGGAGAGAGGCUCGGCGAAAUAGAAUUGUCUGUGAAGAUGCGGACUACGUGCACCCGGACAGAAAGACCCUAUGAAGCUUUACUGUAGCUUGGUAUUGUGCUCGGGCUCGGAAUGCGCAGGAUAGGUGGGAGGCUAUGAACCAUUGCUUGCGGGUGAUGGUGAGCCACUGGUGAGAUACCACUCUUUCCGAGCUAGAGUUCUAACAGCCACCCGUUAUCCGGGGGCUGGACAGUAUCAGGUGGGCAGUUUGACUGGGGCGGUCGCCUCCUAAAAGGUAACGGAGGCGCGCAAAGGUUUGCUCAGGCUGGUUGGAAAUCAGCCGACGAGUGUAAAAGCAGAAGCAAGCUUGACUGUGAGACCUACAAGUCGAACAGGGAGGAAACUCGGCUUUAGUGAUCCGACGGUUCUGCGUGGAAGGGCCGUCGCUCAACGGAUAAAAGUUACUCUAGGAUAACAGGCUGAUCUCCCCCAAGAGUUCACAUCGACGGGGAGGUUUGGCACCUCGAUGUCGGCUCAUCGCAACCUGGGGCUGAAGUCGGUCCCAAGGGUUGGGCUGUUCGCCCAUUAAAGCGGUACGCGAGCUGGGUUCAGAACGUCGUGAGACAGUUCGGUCCAUAUCCGGUGCAUGCGCAGGAAUAUUGAGAGGAUUUCUCCCUAGUACGAGAGGACCGGGAGGAACGCACCUCUGGUGUACCAGUUAUCGUGCCAACGGUAAACGCUGGGUAGCCAUGUGCGGAGAGGAUAACCGCUGAAAGCAUCUAAGUGGGAAGCCCACCUCAAGAUGAGUAUUCCCAUGGGGUAACCCAGUAAGGUCACGGGAAGAACACCCGUUGAUAGGCUCUACGUGGAAGCGCAGUAAUGUGUGAAGCGGAGGAGUACUAAUAGACCGAGGGCUUGACC
rnacentral:rRNA from 1 species